AAAUUGAGUGCUGUCCAUAAUGAAGCAGUGCAGGAAAAAAAAUGUCCUCUUGGAAAAGUAAGAUGAACCUUAAAUGCAGUUAACUCAGAAGAAGCAGGGAUUGGAAUCCAAGGCUGAUCAGGACUUUUCUGGAUUGAGAGCAGAAAGCAGAAAAACAGCAGAGAUAGGAGAAAACUGAUGUAAAGAGAGACUAACAUGACUAAAGUGACUUGGGAGGCAGAGGGAAGUCAAUUCAUCUGGGGAGACUUCACCAGUGCUUCUUUUUCUGAGCCUCCAAGUUUGAUGAUGCAGCUGGCGUCCCGGAGAAGCUGGUGAAUUCCUCAUACAGUAAACAUGCUCCUGGCCCAGGGGUGAGAGAAAGUGGAGGAGGACCCAGAGGGAAUUUCAGGAACUACAGGC